UGGAUGACUUCCAGACCUUUCUACGCUCUUUCCUUCGCACCAAUCGAACCAACAACAACAUUUCUCUCGAGAUCAGAUGGUUAUGGAUGGUUUAUCUCAUCUGCAUUGCUCUCGAGAAAUCCAUAAAGACACCAUCCCAUUCGUGUUUCUUCAAAACCAGUUGAACAAACCACCUUCCAGGAACUUUCCAGAGGCCAAUGUUGCCUCAUUAAUCCAGAAUCUGCCCAGAACGUUGGACAACAUUUCCCUGUACAUGAUCCAACAGCUCAUCUCAAUUUCUUUUGCUCCCAAGAUAUUUUCAUCCAAACAACCAAACCCAGCUGGUUUUCAAACCGGUGUGCUACGAACUUGCCAGCUGUCAAAACUACCUGGAACGCUCCUUACCAUCAUCAAAUCACUGAAACUGUCCCCAAGAUCAAGAGAUGAAAUCCCUCCAGCUUACCCUCCUGAGAUCCAUCUUCUUCAUCUAUAAAUAAAGAUCUCAGGGAGGGAGGAAGAAAGGAAAAUAAAAAGGAGCUUUAUUUUUUUAAAAAAAAAAAAAAAGCACUGGCCAAGCAUAAACUCCUUUCACCCUCUUUAAUACCUUCACACCUCCGUCCCAAGAGUACCAGCUGGAAUCGUCGAGGUCCAAGUCAUUCUUUCAUUAAACUUCACUAUCAUUCUCCAAUGAUCUGAAGGCUCUUGAAAGACAAUUACAUUAGAAAGAACUGCUAGUUUUAAGGGGGGAGAAUUGGAAAGAAUGAUGCCUAUCACUGGCUCUCCUUGGGAGAAAGAGAUGGUUGCCUCUACUAAGACAGAUAGAAUUGACAGCAAAGAGAUGGAUAAUGAGUCCCUGAACGCAGAUGAUCAUAGCGUAGAGACGAUACCGAAAUUGGGAAUUUUUGAUCCCAUCAUCCCCAAACACCAAGCUGCGGUGAGAUUGCUGAGAGUUUACAGAAGCUACUGAACGAGGAGAAUACUUGCAGAUUGGGAAGUUCUUGUUGAGCAGAGAUGGUGGAAACUUUUAGACUUCGUUGAACUCCAUUGGAUUUCUAUUUCGUUCUUUGAUAUGAAGAAACAUGAAGCUGCCAUUUCUAAAUGGUCAAGAGCCAAAAGGAGAGCUGGAAGAGUUGGAAAAGGCUUGUCAGUUGAUGAAAAUGCCUAAAAACUUAUUGAUAAGCACUGGCUUGAAGCGGCACAGUAGACUCUCAAAUUUAUAGGAUUUCUGCAGUUAUGACUUGGUGCUCUUCAUUCAGUCUGAGAGCCUGGUUGUUAGUGCGAUGCACCGCACUAAAA